UUAGCCCUAGGUAACACCCCUGAGCGGGGGCGGAUGAGCCUGGCGGGUUACCCCGGCCAAA
rnacentral:snoRNA from 21 species